rnacentral:rRNA from 1 species
UACAGAGGGUGCGAGCGUUAAUCGGAAUUACUGGGCGUAAAGCGUGCGUAGACGGUUUCGUAAGUCGGGUGUGAAAUCCCCGGGCUCAACCUGGGAAUUGCAUUCGAAACUGCGAGGCUAGGGUACAGAAGAGGGAAGCGGAAUUUCUGGUGUAGCGGUGAAAUGCGUAGAUAUCAGAAGGAACAUCAGUGGCGAAAGCGGCUUCCUGGUCCAGUACCGACGUUCAAGCACGAAAGCGUGGGGAGCAAACAGG